rnacentral:rRNA from 1 species
AAUCAACGCUGGCGGCGUGCCUCAGACAUGCAAGUCGAACGCGAAAGUUUCCUUCGGGGGAGUGAGUAGAGUGGCGCACGGGUGAGUAACACGUAGGUAAUCUACCUUUGGUAUGGGGAAGUAACAAUCGGAAACGGUUAGCUAAUACCGCAUAAUGCAGCGGCACCUAAUGGUGACAGUUGUUAAAGACGGGGGAGUCGAAAGAACCUCGCGUCUGAAGAGGAGCCUGCGGCGGAUUAGCUAGUUGGUAAGGUAACGGCUUACCAAGGCGACGAUCCGUAGCCGGCCUGA